GGGAGGCGCGGGGAGCUCGCCGCCGCUCCUCGCUUGGGCAGGGGAGAAGACGCCCCCCACCCCCUCUAGUUCGGCCUCUCCAUUCAAGUUCGCCGACCCCGGCCGCCGGGAUCCGGGGAUGGCACCAGCCGCCCGCCCAGCUCUGCGCCCUUUUUCCAGCCAUCGCGCAGAAAUUUAGGUCAAGGACGUCGGGAUCAAACCCAAACCCUGGCGCUCCUCGGCGGGCCCGAGACCCCCCAGGAUCGGGGAGCUUCAGGAUUGAGGAGACCCUCCCGCACAAAUAGCAGCCACAAGUUUUAUUUUCUUUUGGCGCUGGAAGUUCUCUCUGGCUCUCGCUCCACACCCGCACGUCUUGCGCCGCUCCCCGCCCUUCCCCGGCGGAGGUACGAAUCCGUGCCGGGGAAAGGUUAUUUUGGAACUUUGAGAAACUGACGCGAUUCCAGCGGACACAAUGGAAUACACUCAACACCAGAACUGUACCGAACCCACCGCAGUCAUGGCAAAGUGGACCAUUUGGAAAAUCCCAACACUAGCCAAAGCCUUGGAUGACCAGAUUCUUCAUCUCCCUGCCUCCUAAAUUUGGGAUAAUUCCUCACUGACAGGAUUGAUGGGGUGAGAGAAGAGAUUGAAAGAUAGAAACAGCCAGCGAGAGAGGGAACACAAGCAGGGGGAGUGGGAGAGGAAGAAGCAGGCUCAUAGCAGAGGAGCCUGAUGUGGGGCUCGAACCCAUAACCCCGGGAUCACGCCCUGAGCCAAAGGCAGACGCCCAACCGCUGUGCCACCCAGGCGCCCCUCAGCCUCCUGUUUUCUGAUUGUAACAUAGAAGACUAUGGAUUUCACUCUGAGUACCACUCAAGCUACAUUCCACAAGAUAUAGAGAAUUUUUAUUAUCAUCCCAGGCGAAGAAUAGAUUUCAAAUACGAUUUCUUCUUUGGCUCAAUACAUGUGUAUCUUUAUAUUUCUAAACAUAAGGUUUUUGUUUUGAUUUUUAGUUAUUUAUAUCUAGGGUAAUUGAAUUAGGGUCAGAGAAGGUGGUGUGUAUAAAACAGAUUCUUGUUAUUUGUUGAGUCUUGCUUUGCCAAAUGGUCAAUCUUUAUAAAUAUUCCAUGUGGCUUUGAAAAGAAUAUUCCAUAUGGCUGGCUCAGUUGGUGGAGCACGCAACUCUUGAUCUUGGGGUCAAGAGUUCAAGCCCCAUUUUGGACAUAGAGCUUACUUAAAAAAAAAAAAAACAGAAUGGGUAUGCCUUAAUUGUUAAGUGUAGCAUACCAUAUAGAUCUAUCAAAUCAAGCUUCUUAAUAUGUUAUCCAGAUUUUCUGUAGCCUUACUAAUAUUUUGUUUGUUUAAUCUAUCACUUUUUGUAGUAGUAUAUCAAAAUCUCCUUAUAUGAUUGAAUUUGCCAGUUUCUCCUAAAAAUCUCUCAAAUUUUAUUUUUCCUAUAUUUUAAAAAUAUGUGAUAAGGCAUGUCAAAAAGGGCUGUUAAUAUCUCCUACUAUGGCUGUGCAUUUUUCUAUUCUUUACAUUUUAUUUGUCUUACUUUUUGCUUUAUGUAUUUUGAAGCUAUGUUAUUAGGUACAUGCAAGCUUAGAUAUACUGUUUUCCCAGUGAAUUGUUUCUUUAAUAUAUACAGUUGACCCUUGAACAACACAGGUUUGAACUGUGCAGGUCUGCUUAUAUACAGACUUUUUUCAAUAAAGAUAGUACAGUACUGUGAAAUUACUGUAUAUUUUCUCUUCUAUUUUCUUAAUAACAUUAUUUUUUCUCUAGCUUACUUUAUUGUGAGAAUACAGUAUACAAUACAUAUAACGUAUAAAGUAUGUAAUUGUUAUUUAUUGUGAGAAUAUGGUAUAUAAUACAUACACAAAAUAUGUAUUAAUUGACUCUUUAUGUCUUCCAGUCACGAUAGGCUAUUGGUAGUUAAGUUUUGGGGGAGUUGAAAGUCAUAUGCAGAUUUUCACCUGCUCAGAGGGUCAUCAUCCCUAACCCCUGCAUGGUUCAAGGAUCAACUAUACACAAAUGAUCUUUAACCAUAGUACUCUUAGAUUGAAAGUCUGCUUUGCCUGUGAAAAAUAUAACUACUCCAACUUCUAAUUAGCAUUUGCCUGGCAUUAUCUUUUUCCAUCCUUUACUUUCAACCUUUCUAUGUCUAUAAGUUUUAUGUGAGUCUCUUAUAGACAGCAUGUAGCUGGAUCUUGUUCAUUCACUUAUUUGGUUAGUAAGUUUUGUUGAUUUACAUUUAAUGUGAUGUUUUUAAUGAAACUUAGGGGUGCAAAAAUAUAUUAACCACAAUCUCUGGGAUUAACACACUGUCAUCAUUGGGUAUAUUCAUGGCCUUAUUUUAUUUUGUUUUUUGAUAUUAUGAACACCUAUAAACCUGUUAUUCAAUGAGAGAACAAAAGCCGUUAACAAUGACGUACAACUACCUAUAUGCUUCUCCCCUAUCUUUUCUUCCAUCUGAAGUAACCACUAAUCUCAAUCUUGCAUUUAUUAUUAUUUUGCUUUUUAAAAAUUUUUAUCAAAUGUUCAUCACAUACUUGUUUUAAGUUAUUAUGAAACAUUUCUGAGGUUUAUAUUUUUUGCCCCACAUCAUAUUGUUAAGGUUCAGCUAGAUUAUUACAUCUGGUUGUCGUUCUU